UUCCAGACUCCUACGGGAGGCAGCAGUGGGGAAUAUUGCACAAUGGGGGAAACCCUGAUGCAGCGACGCCGCGUGAGUGAGGAAGUAUUUCGGUAUGUAAAGCUCUAUCAGCAGGGAAGAAAAUGACGGUACCUGACUAAGAAGCCCCGGCUAACUACGUGCCAGCAGCCGCGGUAAUACGUAGGGGGCAAGCGUUAUCCGGAUUUACUGGGUGUAAAGGGAGCGUAGACGGAAUUGCAAGUCUGAUGUGAAAAUCCGGGGCCCAACCCCGGAACUGCAUUGGAAACUGUAUUUCUAGAGUGUCGGAGAGGCAAGUGGAAUUCCUGGGGUAGCGGUGAAAGGCGUAGAUAUAAGGAGGAACACCAGUGGCGAAGGCGGUCUGCUGGACAGCAACUGACGGUGAGGCGCGAAAGCGUGGGGAGCAAACAGGAUUAGAUACCCUAGUA
rnacentral:rRNA from 1 species